AUUAAUUAAAUAAUUUUGUCACGAUUAAAUAUCGGCCCAAAGAUUUAUUUAAAAGCCCAAGACUUAAUUAUUUACCUCACCUCUUACUUCUCAUUUAAUUUAAAAGCCCCAAUUAAAAUAAAAGGCCCCAAACUUAAAUAAAACCUCCAUUUUCAAAAGAAUUUGUGAGGCCCAAACAAAAGCCUAACAACAACAAAAGACAAAAGCCUCAUUCUUAACACCAUCUUAUCUCCAUCUCUUUCUCCCUCUCUCUCACUACCGAUUUCAUCUUCUUCCCCAUUCUUCUCUCCCCUUUUUUUUGAAAUCCGUCGCCCUCUCUUCUUCUUCCGUCUGAGUCACCGGCCGCCUCCGUUGCUGCUGGAGUCGCCGGUGCUGCUGCCCCGGGAAGGUGCCGCUGCUGUUGGAGUCACCGGGGGGGUGGGGCUGCUGUCGCGCUGCGCUGCUGCUGCCACGGGGGAGGAAAGUUACUGCUGUGCGCCGCCGGAGGAGCUGCUGCUCGCGGCCAGCCGUCGCUGUCAGCAGCGUCCAGCCACCGCUGCCGUCAAUCCACAGAACCGUCGCCAUCGCUGUCGGCUUCUCCGCCGGUUCGCGCAGUUGUCCGAACUCGCCCCGAACAGCUCUGAAACGACACCGCACAGCCACGAAACCAACCCGAAAUUCUUGAUUUUAAACUUGCAGAUAAGUUCUUACUUGUUUUGGUGAAGUUAAAGUUCGUUUCUUUUAAUUGAGUUUCCCGAGUUACUAGUUUGAUUUAGUUACCGUUGCCGUACAUUGCGUUGGUUACAUGAUAUGCAACGAAUGUGACUGAAAUUGAGGAAACAAGGGAUCAUAUACCUUGAACGGAUUUUGAGCAAAUUCUGAGCGAAUGAACGGUAGUUUCCCCUUGUCGAGUUGGGUUCUCGGUUUCUUGAAUUAAGGUUGAGAGGAAAAACCUUGUCUUCUUCAUUGCAGAGAUAGAGAGAACGGUUUUUGGAAAAGAAAUAAUAUAGAGGGAAGGGUGGGAGAUAUUUAGGGAGUAGAGAGAGAGAUUUGCAUAAAAGUACAUAUACAUAUAAAUAUAAGAUGGCAAGUGGCGUGUACAUAUGCAUAAAAAAAAUGGCAAGUGGCUAAGCUUAUUAAUUACGCAUAUCUUUUUAAGAUAUUGUAUUAAUGACACAUAUCUUUUUAAGAUGUUGUAUUAAUGACGCAUAUCUUUUUACGAUUUUGUAUUAAUGACGCAUAUCUUUUUAAUAUCUUUACGAGAUCUCAAUGAUCCAAUUUGUUUUGUAAUGUUGGACAUUUGUGAAACGGGCACUACAACUUUUCUUCCAAUUUAUUCUUUGAUAGUCAUUGGAAAUAAUUGCUAAACAUAAAAAAAAAACAACAUUUAUAGGAUGUCUUGUCUAAAUUUUCUUAGACUCGUCAUCAUAUACCUUAAAAUCUUAGGUGGCACUUUGAAAUGUCACAACAUUAGUAGCAACGUGCUUUUAUUUGAUCUUGUAAAAUCCCCUUAUAAAAUUUUGGGUUGUUACACCUACACCCUGUAACUGUUUUUGGCUUAUUGUGAGAUCUAGUACCGAUCUCAUUUAUGAAUUUUCAUCCCUUGUUGCAGGUGCGCUCAGGAGCAGGUAUUGGGUGGCUGAUUUCUGGACAAUAGCAGGUCUGAAUGGAGGUGGUACGGGCUGCUCAUUGAUGGAGUGAAAGGUUGGCUGGAAUUUGCUUCUUUAGCUCAAGCAAUUUCUCCAUUUUUCAAAAGGACCGAGAGGCUGGCUCCACGUGGUUCAUCCCCUAAUCUCCCAGUCCGUCGGACCCCUCUUGAUCUGGGCCGAGACCGCUCGCGCUGAGGGUCGAGGAAGUUCUCUAGGAACUCUCGGUUGUGGUAGUUCACUUUGAACUCUCCUUUGUUCUUUUCUCUUUUCUUUGUUUCAACACAUGUAUUAUUAACUAGUUGUCAGAUCUCGUUUCAUGUAUUAUCAUCGUCGAAGAUUGUAAUUUAUUAGUGUGAAAUUCUGGAAAUUGUAUUUGUACUCUUUUUUAAGAAAUAAAAAUACUCAUGCAUUCUUUAAUAAAA